rnacentral:lncRNA from 1 species
CGAACUGCCAUUCUUUUUCCAUGGAAGUUUCUGUCGAGGUAUGAGCCACCUGAGACCUUUUGUUGUCUCAGAAUAUUCAAUGGGCUGGUCAGCCAAUAGCCAGUCAGAAAGGACAAAAACUUGCAGGUGUCCUAUCAUUCCCUGUGAUGAAAUUUUUUUCAAACCAUUACUCUGAGCUUAAAAUAUGAUGGCACAAAAAUUGUUAGCUUGUUGACACCAUCAAGCUUUUUGAAAUCACUUACAUGUAGAUUCAUUGAUGGAUCAGAAGCAACAUAAUUAUUUCUGGCAAUUGCUCCAAGAUUUGUGGAGGCAAGUGAAAGAGCUGCAGCAGCUAGUGUUGUUGCU